AUUGAACGCUGGCGGCGUGCUUAACACAUGCAAGUCGAUCGGUAACGCGGGGGCAACCCUGGCGACGAGAGGCGGACGGGUGAGGAACGCUUGGGAAUCUGCCCUUCAGCGGGGGACAACACGGGGAAACUCGUGCUAAUACCGCAUAGGCUCCACGGAGGAAAGCCGGGGACCGCAAGGCCUGGCACUGAAGGAUGAGCCCAAGUCGGAUUAGCUAGUUGGCGGGGUAACGGCCCACCAAGGCGACGAUCCGUAGCUGGUCUGAGAGGACGAUAAGCCACACUGGGACUGAGACACGGCCCAGACUCCUACGGGAGGCAGCAGUGGGGAAUAUUGGACAAUGGGGGAAACCCUGAUCCAGCGACGCCGCGUGGGUGAAGAAGGCCUGCGGGUUGUAAAGCCCUUUCGGUAGGGACGAAAGCUCUCGACCUAACACGUCGGGAGGUUGACUUAACCUACAAAAGAAGCACCGGCUAACUCUGUGCCAGCCGCCGCAGUAACAC
rnacentral:rRNA from 1 species